rnacentral:lncRNA from 1 species
CCUUUUAAUAUAAAUUGGUUGUUUUGAAAGUGUGUACAGGUAUUCAUAAACUUCUGAAUUAAGAAAUUCUUCGGCAAAACUAAGUUUCCCUGUAGAAUGUUUGAAUUGAUUUAAGUAAAAUCAGGAAAUCCUUAAAAUUUGAGAUGUUUUAUGAGACCAAAAUAAGUCUCUUCAUAAGAGGUCCCAAUCAAUUGCAUGCCACAGGUUUCACCGCAUACAACAUCUACCAGGAGUAAAGACAGCUUCAAA